rnacentral:snRNA from 1 species
AUACCUGUCAGAGGAGAAAAAAUAACCACGUAGGUAUUUUUCCCAAGGUGAAGCUAAUCCCUUAUACACUGAAUGUGCUGAUACCUGUGAUUUCCCCAAGUUGGGAAACUCGAGGGCAUAGUUUUUGGUAAGUGGGGAUGGAGUCGCGCUUCCCCUUG